CGGAGGAUCCAAGCGUUAUCCGGAAUUACUGGGCGUAAAGAGUUGCGUAGGUGGUUUGUUAAGCAAAUAGUGAAAGCGUAGGGCUCAACCCUAUAUCCAUUAUUUGAACUGGCAGACUUGAGGAUGAGAGAGGUCGCUGGAAUUGCUAGUGUAGGAGUGAAAUCCGUAGAUAUUAGCAGGAACACCGAUGGCGUAGGCAGGCGACUGGCUCAUUCCUGACACUAAGGCACGAAAGCGUGGGGAGCAAACGGGAUUAGAUACCCCGGUAGUCCACGCCGUAAACUAUGGAUGCUAGCUGUUAACCGUAUCGACCCGGUUAGUAGCGAAGCUAACGCGUUAAGCAUCCCGCCUGUGGAGUACGGUCGCAAGACUA
rnacentral:rRNA from 1 species